UGUUUUAUGUUCAGGUGUCUCUUGAUCACGGUAACCCACAGUCCCCUGUGGGGGAAGACUUUGGGAGAAUUUUACCCAGAAUACUUGCCGCCUGCUUUUUGCCCUCCAGGAAACCAGAAGCCGGGUGAUUAGGACAAAGCCAAUGGCCCCUGGUUAGCUGACCAUCCCUGUCCCAUUUUUCCCCCUGGUCCCUUCCACUGUGACCACGGGAAAGUGUGGUCCCCUGAAUUCCCAGAGCCGGGCUCCACCUCAGAAGUGUCGUCUCUCUGAGCACGCAUUCCCCUGCAGCGAGCAGGCGGGCAGAUAGCAGAGACUGAGCCGAUUGAGAGAUGCUGGGCCAGAGAGGCCUGGGAGGAAAGGUGUCCAGCCAGUCGGCUUAGGACGCUCGUCGGCACCUGCUGAAAUGCUCCUGCCCGACAGCCCCUCCUCAGAGACUUGCCGUUACACACGGCAGGUUCUAGAGACUUGCGGGAGAGCUGCUCUCGAGGCCACCACGCGUCUGUGCUCCUAGGCCAACCCUUGUGCCCUGUGUUCAUUUUAUUUUGUGACCUGAGACUGCAAAAAGCAAUCAAGUAACACACGAGGAGGACAGAGGCUUAGCGCCUCCACUCUGGGGAAGUUCCGCAAGAAGCCUUUGCUGGGUGUCUGUUGUGCUUGUGCUGGUCUGCUUGGCCGGUCUUGCCUUCCCUUUGUCUCCCUCACAGCCCUCAGGCAGACCUGUGUGCAGGCCGCUCUAAAGCAAGCCUCUAGGGCCAUCGAAGUUUCUAUUUACAGUAUUCAAAAUUCCUUUAAGGUACAAAGAGCAAAUGCUUUGCCCUCUCUUAGGAUUAGAAGAAUUACAUAAAACUUAAUAAACAUUUUCAAUGAUGGAAAAA